rnacentral:lncRNA from 1 species
GGGGUAAUUUACAAGUGCUUCAUGCUUUACUUCUUGGCGUAUCUUCUGUUAUAAUGAUGAUCGUGUGCUAAUCUAUGUCAGCGGAAGACUCAUCACCUCCCAGGGAAGGCGUGAUCUGGACCAAGUGGCCGGAAGAGUUGAUGUUACCAUCGCCUGAACAGAUCCAUGGAUCUUCAACCCUUACUGCCUCUCAUAUGUUUGGUGGUUGAGUCGGCUACAGUUUGUUUGCAGUUUUGAAUUAGAACAUGCCCUAUCUUUGGUUGAGUCGGCUAUAGUUUGUUUGCAGUUUUGAAUUAGAACAUGCCCUAUCUUUGCUGGCUCAGAGAAUUGGAAGUUGGAUGCAUCUAGGUAUGAUACUGCAGUAUGUGUUUUGUCUUUUCCUGAAUGAACUCCUAAUGCACUGUCACUAGUUCCGGACAAAAGAAAAUUAAAUUAAGCCCAUGGAAUGUCUCUGCUGAUGCCAGUAUUACUCUAGCGGCACCGAGUUGUCUAUUUUCUUAUGUUCAGUACAAGUGAUUACUUGCCGUGUCAUUUAUCAGUUAAGCAUCGAGGAGUACUGGUAAUUCGUAUCAUCGAGGAGUACAAGUGAUUACUUGCCGUGUCAUUUAUUGGUUCCCCACAAGUUUUUCCUAAAAACAUCUCAUCAAAUAUAUAGACAUAUGCAUAAAGUAUUAAAUAUAGAUUAAAAAAAAUAAUUGUACAGUUAAGAGGGAAAUUGCGAGAUGAAUCUUUUGAAUCUAAUUAGUCUAUGAUUAGUUAUAAGUGCUACAGUUUUUCAAUCUAGUUGUUAGUUUUUUCAUUCAUGUUAAAAACUCCUUCUGACAUCCGGUCAAACAUCUGAUAUGACUGCUCUAAAAUUUUCAUUUUGUGAACUAAACAAGCCCUCAGUUAGGCAUUAUGCACGAAACAACCAUGAAAAAACUUUUCAGUAUAUUUUCUCAGCUCAACGGCCGCCGCUUGAUGCUGUUCGUAGCGGAUUAUCUCGUGCUUGAUCUCCAAUGUAUUUCAGGAAUCAAUCAGAGACAGGAAAACCCGAACAACUGGCCAGCAAUCCCAGACGUUAGAUUCUACUUGGACGGUCAAGAUGCGCCCUAACGCCCACCCGUAAGUGCUUCUCUACGGCCGAGGAUCCACCUCCUCCACGUUAAUCUUCUAGGGUCCGUUUGUUUGGGUGUAGUUUUUAGGGACCGUUUGUUUGGGUGUAGUUUUUAGGAGAGACUAGGCAACGCAGAACGAUCCAUGAACAACGGAGUGACCGAAAUAGUGUCGUCGUACCAAGAAGGUUCGAAAAAAAAUUCAAAACAAGCAAAACUGUACGAGUAGAGAUAUUAUUAGCUGAUGCUUGGGAGCAUAGAAGAGUGAGGCUAUUAUGUUUAGUCUACUUUUUAAAUAAAAAUAUUAUGUUUGUUUGGGAGACAAGAAAGUUUGAGUAGGAUGAGGAUGAGGAAUUGAAACUUGGUAGAGGAACUACUUGGUAGGGAGUGGUAAUUUAGAGGAAAUUCAUUUUUUUACUUUGCCUAAACAAAUCUCAAACAUCUGUUUUUAUUUAAGAUCUAAUCUCCCAACUAAACUUCUUAUCGAUUCCUACCAUCUUUACCAAAUAAAAGAUUGGGACUAAAAUUUAAAUUCUCAUGGUGAUCUCAUCAUCAAUUUCUUAUCUAAACUCCCGAUCCUCUUUUCUAAAGUUGACAAACAAGCCACCGAUAUCCCUAUAGUAAAAAGGCUCAUGGAAAUAGUUCAUUUUUUAUUUUUAUUGAUCGAGCAAUAUGGAAAUGUUUACUGAUAAAAAUGUUAAAAAUUAUGGAAAUGUAAAUGAAAAUAAUAUUGUUGCACACCGACGUUUUCAAAUUGUACCAUAUUCUUAUGGUAUUUCUAAAUAUGUCAACUUUUGGUUCUUUUUUUUUGUUUGAUUAAUAGUUUAGAGGCCUAUCAACUCCUCAACCAAAUCCUAACUUGAAUACAAGAUUCAAUGAAAGAUAAUUCGUAAUUUAAAUAGUGCAACUUUGAAUUUGUUUAGUUAUAUUAUAUAUUUAUGUAAACUUUUAUAGGUUAAUGUUUUUAUAUUUAUUACCAGUUUUCGAUAUCGAUGCCGGGUUUCUGUUUUGGUUUUUUAUAUUUCUAUAUAAUACCAUUUUUUAUUUUCGGUUUUUACUGUUUUCGAUUCCGUUUAUAAGAGAAAAUAUUAAUUAAUUUUUGGUAAUGGUGGAGACGGUUUUUCCACAGUUUUCAUGCCAUAUCCAUUAUUAUCGCCUUAUCCACUACCCCUGCUGCAUUCCGCGCAGUCUACCGGCGGCGAGCAAUGGAAGCCGCUCUCCUCCUUCCUCCUCCUCCCCUCGCCGCCCGAGGCGGCGUCAGCAUCGCCAUCGCCUUCUCCGUCUCUCGAUUCCUUGCCGCCGCCGCCGCCGCAGCUGCGGGGAAGCUCAAGAAGCUCGCUCCCCACGCAUGCCGCUGCCGCGCCACGCCGCAAUGGCAGCUCGAUUUCCUCGGCGCGGAAGCGGACACGGAGGCAGACGGUAGGGGUGCAGACGGCGCGGUUGCGGACAGCCCGCGCCGCGUCCGCAUUGCCCGCACGGCUGGAGCGGGCAGGCUGCGCCCGCGUCCGCACGCCCGCAUUUGCCCGGCGGCUUGCAGGCGGGUCCCGCAAAUGUGUGUGUGGUGUUUAUGCGUGUAAAAUCAUGUGUAAUCACUCUCGUAUGGGCUUCAAUUCGUACGAGAAAUUACUGCCUUAGUAUCCAGCAUUAGUUGUCACUGUCAAUGCAAGAAAAAUUACUGCCUUCUCUUCAACUGUGGCAACAAUUACAUCUGCUAAUUAAACCAAGAUGAAAGGAAAAAAAAUUGCGAUAUAUGGUAUGCAAGCAUGAAGAUUCAGAGUUCUUCAGUAUAAGCAAAAAUGCAGGCUUGCAGAGGUGAAUCUUCAGAUGAAACAGAAAAUCAGUAAAUAUUAGUAACCAUCUUGGGCCCUGAAAUCUUCUGAAAGACAGUGACUGCAGCGAAAAGCAGAGUCUACAAUUUGGCAUAAAAAUCCACCGAUCCUUAAUCAAAUUGUUCUAAAAAAAUCCCCUUCCAAAAUAUUCAUAGCUUAACAACAGCAUAAAGGGGAAAAAAAAAGGGACUCAAAAGACAUGCAUAUCCUGACAGCAACAAAGCCGCCUAAUCCUUGCAUCUAUUCCUGUCACUCAUGCAGAAUUCACCAGGCAAAAUCAAAUAUGAAUUUCAGGCUCAACGGCAGAAAAGAAGUCCAGAAAUCCCAGGCUCAACUAAAUUUCCAAUACAUCGUACAAAUUUUGGAUGUAAUCUGACAUGUGUGGGAAACACUGAUAUGAGCUGGGAAACAAAGCAAGCUCCACUUACCACUGCUCCAGAACUAGCAAAAUUUCUCAGAACCCAGAUUGCAUAGAACUCACAUGGUAAUUUGCCUGAGAUGUCAAAUGAUUUAAUGUCCUGCCCAGUGACAACAAAAAGGGGUUAAAAGUUGGAACAUAAUCUACAUUGCCAGUGCCAGAACAUCUUGGAUUGAAUUUAAAAGCUAUCUAACAGAAUAGAAGUGAAUCUGACCCCCACAAAAAGAGAGGUCCAAACUACCUAGAAAUGAAGAUAAAAUUAUGUAGUACUAUUUAAGGAACAGAAACAAUUUUCAGUUACAGUUUUAUGACCAUGGUGAGGGGGUAAUGCAGCAUGUGUACACAACUCUUUUUCCAGAUCUAGCAACUCAUUUAAGAAGCAAAUGUAGAAUAAAUUGUAAAUUAUUAUUAGAUCAUCAUAGUACCCAUAUUCAAUUAGACAUACAGAAAUAUAAAAUCAAGUAAUUUGAAUACCCAAUAGUUGCAUAUUAACAUCAUCGCCCUCAGCCGUAUCAGUUUGAAUUGAAUAUGGAUCACCAAAACCUAAAACAUCAGAAUACAAAAGUUCAACAUAAAUAAGUUCAUGGCCCAUAAUAUAAGUAGCAAUGCACAACUAAAGUAGGCUUCAUACCAUCGGCUCGCAUCCAAUCUUGAAGGCAAACCAAUGCCUCCACAGUUCCACUAGCCAACCUACUCCUAUAGUCGCUAAUGAUUCUUUAUCCAGUAGAAAAUGCAGACUCUGAUGCAACUGAGGAUGCAGGGACAGCAAGCAAAUCAAGUGCCAUGCGUGAUGAUAUUGGAUAUUUGCAAGAGUUCACCCUCCACCACUAGAGUAUGUCAAAAUCAUCAUCAGGGAAAUCAUUUUCUUGAGGAAUAUCUUCGAGAUAUCUAGUUAACUCAGUCUUUACUUUACUCUUGCUUUGAUCAUGAAGAUAUUGCCUCUAGUCAGCAAAUUGGCUGCCACCAACAUUCACCCCACUAGUUGAUGCUUCUUGAGAAUUGGUUGUGCUUGGACCACAAAUUUGUGAAGAAUAUUCAGCAAACCAAGUACGGACUGUCCUCUUAAUUCUAGGGAGAUAUCCAUUUGGACCAGUUGCCUUAUCUCCAAAACCUGCUUUCAGCCUAAACUCAAGGAAUUUCAACUUAAAUCUGGGAUCAAAAAUAACAGGAACCCAAAUCUGCAGGAACUGUAGAUCCCAAUAUUUCUGAAAUUUUGUAUCCAUUUUAGAAACCAAGCUAGCAACAAGAUCAUCCUCAUUGUUGGACUCAUUUAGAAUCAUCACCUUCACUUUCCAAAAUUCAUGAAAGUAGCGAGUAACAGUGGGAUAUGAUGUCCCGGAAACCACAACAGUUGCAUCAUAGAAGACCUUGAGAUGUUUGCAAAGAACUUCUGCAUUCUCCCAAUCGAAAAAUUGUGGAGCAUCUUUAAAGUUAGGAUCAAACCGAUCCAAUGAAUCAAAAGCCCUCCUGAAUAAUAAGGAUGAGGAAAGCAUCAAAUAGGUGGAAUUCCAACGAGUGGAGACAUCAAGUGAAGGACGCUUCUCUUCAACAAUUCCGACUUGUGCAAUGAUUUCUUCAAAUUUUUGCUCCCGUGCUUCUGAUGCUCUUACAUACUUCACACUUUCCCUUAUCCUGGAUAUGGCAGCACUGAUAGUACUCAAUCCAUCUUGAACAAUAGGAUUAAAGAUGUGAGCUGCGCACCAGAAAUGAAAUAGCUCUCCUUUGCAAGGCAUAGCAAGUUUACCCAAGAGAUUUCCUUUCAAUUCCACAACCAUAGAAUCAUUAGUAGAUGCAUUGUCUACUGUAAUACUGAACAACUUACUUUCUAUCUGCCAAUCUUGAAUGCACUUUAUAAUUUCAUUGAAGAGAGCUAUACUAUCAUGUGGGGUACGCACUUGAGUGAAUCUUAUGAUCCUCUUUUGCAUAUUCCAUUCAUUGUCAAUGAAGUGACAAGUUAUGCACAUGUAACCUAGGUUUUGAUUAGAUGACCACAUGUCAGCCGUCAGUGAAACCCGAGAAUUUGUUUUCCUCAGUACCUCAAGCAAAGCUAACUUUUGUUCUUGAUAGGCAGCCAAGCAAUCACCCUUUAUAGUAGUUCUAGAAACCACCCUAAAGUACGGGUUCAAGCUUGCACAAAAUCUUCUAAAACCAAGGUGUUCAACAAAGCUGGAAGGAAGUUCUUGCAAAACAAUCAUCCUUAAAAGUUCUGCACGUGCUACAUCAGGAUCAAAUUUCCAGUCCUUUAGAACAAAUGUAUUAGGUGCUAACCAGAACGAUGAGUCACAACAUGAGGUGUUGGUUGACUUGAUUCCCUUGGCUGAUUUUCAACAUCCAGCUCAAGGAUAGUAGACGGACUUGAUACGAACCUUGCCACUGGAGACAGAGAUCUAGCUCUUGGAGACUCUGCACUUGGGGACAUAUGACCAGGAACUUGUGAUCUCUCCAUGAUGAGAGCAUUUUGAGAAAUAAUUUGGCGCACUCCUGGAGACCUGACUAUUGGCAAUACAAUAGGUGAUCGUCUUCGCUUCGCUGUCGAAGGAUUCGAUGCUGCUAACUUUCGUUUUGCAGACAACAAUUGUGUUGAUGAUGAUAAGCCUCCCGAAGAGCCCUCUGCAAUGACCUCUUUGAUAUAUCCUCCUUGCGAAGCUUCAGCUAAUGAUGUCGACAUGGGAGAAAACCAAAGUACUGCAUGUAGAACAAGAUGGACAGAAUUUUAAAACACACCUGAAAGGCUGAAACUAAGUACUAUGACAUAACUCAUGUCUCAUGGUGCUAAAACUGUAGCUCACAACCCAGAUAAAACCAAGUAGGGACUCCACUGGACAUAAUCUAAAACAGAAAAUCAAGCUGAGUUUAAACUCACAACAUAACUAAAUAGCACACAUAUUUUUUCUGUAUUAACCGUCCUAAAACCCAUGAGAAAGAGAGAUAAAUAGUUCAUUGUAACCAAAUAAAGAUGGCCAUUUUGUGUGUGUUUUUUCGUUGGUUAUGAAAUCUCAUGUUUGGCCUCUUCUUCUUGUCCUCACUUCAGUCCCAGAAGUACAGGAAGUCAAAGAACAUCAAAGCAAAGUAAGUACUACUAAUCGACGAGAUAAUAUCCAUGAGAAAUCAAACCAAAAACAUGGAAGUGGAUUGGACGAGACAUGCUACUAAUCGAUGAGGCAUUGCUAGUUUGAUUAUGCCUCAUCUGCCACCCACGGCGUUCUUUCCCAAUCGACUCCAGUGCUUAAACAAGAAAAAAAAUGAAGAGGCAAGAACUCACCUGAGCCGAGAGAGGGGAAGGACGAGGCGUGCUGGCGCCGCGGCGGCGGAGGACGACGAGCAACUGAGCAAGGCGGCGGCGGCGGACGGCGAGCGAGCGAGCGAGGCGGCGGACGGCGAGCGAGCGAGCGAGGCGGCGGACCGGCGGCAGAGAUGGCGAGCCGCUCCAGGCUCGAUCUCGCAUGUGGAAACGCCGAACUAGGGUUGGGAACAUACGGACGCGGAGUUAGUGGGCUACUGGCGGCCACGCGGACGCGGGUCAAUCCAGCCCAUCUAGCUAUGCGGCCUUCUCGCGGGGCGGCCUUGCGGGAUUUUUUGCGGGGCGGCCUUGCGGGCAAGCUGGGCUGGCCCGCGCCGAGCUGGAGCUAUGCCAAACGUGCCAAAAUGUAGAGGAGUACAUUUUCCGUCUCAUAUGAGUUCUAAAGGUUUCUCAAUAAGUUAACUUUUAGGUACAGGAGUUUAAAUCAUAUUCUUCCUUACAUCACAAUACCAUACCCAUUAACUUAUAACCCCAGAGUACCUAAGCUCUAUGGCAGUAUUGCAUCAUAUUUCAGCUGAAGUGGCAAGUCGAUUGUGCUCAACCCAGCUAAAUCAGUGAGGAACCCACGUGGGCCCCACAUGUCAACAGUCCAGUCUUUUUCCUCCUCUCCCUCCCUUUCUCCACUCUCUUCCCCAUCUCUCUCAGGGCAUUCUACUGUUUGCCACUUUUAGAUGUGGCAAUUAACUAUUUGCCACUGGAUCCACAUGUCAUAGAUACAUGUAGACCCACGUGUCAUAGACAUAUGGGUGGCAAAUAGUUAAAUGCCAAAUCUAAAAGUGGCAAAUAGUUAAAUAUCUCCAUAUUGGAAGGACAACGGGCGGCGAACAGGAACGAUGGCGGCGAGCAAUUAUAGGGACGACGGAUUCAUCCAAGAUGUGGUGGCUACAGAGCAAGGAGUAGAGAUGUGAGGAGACAGAGGGAGUAGAGAAGGUUUCUUCUUUGAGAAAAUCUAUAAAAUGCUAUCGAUAACCACCUUAAUCCCAAAAAUACCAUCGACAAGCGCAACUUCCUGAAAAUGCCAUCAUACAAGGCUAUUUCUCUCAGAAAUGCCAUCACACUAUUAGUCCACACUGUUAGAACAAAAUAUUUUACAAGAAUGACUAAAUUGCCCUCACUCCAAAUAAUACUAUCCCAAUCCACCGGUAAAACAAAAAAAACUACCGCUAAUGCUUGAUGCGUCACAUGGGCGGUCUGUCUCGAAGGCGCCGGCCUGACACGCGGCCAGCCAGAGGAAGUGGGAGGCUCACAUCGGCGGUGGCGAAUGUCUCGUCGUCGCUGUGGUUGGAGUCAGAGUCGGUGCUUCGCUCGCCGUCGCUGGAGGAAGAGGAGGAGAGGCGGGCGAGCCCGGCGGUGGUCAUGCUCCAGACGCGGGCGCCGCAGUAGGGGCAGCGGACGCGCGGCUCGAGCGGGGCGCGGUGGAUGACGAGGAACACACGCGUCCGCGACCGCAUGAACCCACGUUACGCGCCCACGACGUCGUCGUACGCGGCGUCGAAGGCUGCCGCCGCGUGCUCGCAAAGUGGCCCGGCAAGGCGGCGGCCGCCGCGCCGCAACAGAAGAAGAGCAGCUUCGCCAUCACCGGACAACCUCCCCCAAUGCGUCGGUGCCUGGGACUAUCGUGCAGACGCCUGCUGCUAACGCGCCGUCGCUGCGUGCUCGCAAAGUGGCCCGGCACGGCGGCGGCCGCCGCGCCGCAACAGAAGAAGAGUAGCUUCACCAUCGCCGGCCAACCUCCCCCAAUGCGUCAGUGCCUGGGACUGUUGUGCGGACGCCUGCUGCCAACGCGCCGUCGCCUGGGACUGUCGCGCCUGCGGCCGAUGCGCCACCGCCGCCUGCCACCUCCUCGGCGCCCGUCGCGUCAAUGCCUGGGACCUCCGCGCGGACGCCUGCUACCGACGCGCCGCCGCCUAGGAGCCCCGCGCCGCCACCUGGGACCAACGCGCCGCCUCCUGCCGCCUCCUCGCCACCCGUCGCGUCGCCGCCUGGGACAGCCGCGCCUGCGGCCGACGCGCCGUCGCUUGGGAGCCCCGCGCCUGCUACCGACGCACCGCCGGUUGGGACCACCGUGCCGCCGCCUGGGAGCCCCGCGCCACCGCCUGGGAGUGCCGCCUUGCCGUUGUUGCCCAUCAGGAGCUGGCGGUUGAAGUAGAGGGGAGGAAUAGUGGCCGGCGAUGGGAUGGAAGAGAAGGGGAUUUAUCCUUUGUUGAGGAGGGUAAUUUGGUCAUUUUGACAAAAUUAAUGGUGUCUAACAGGGUGAAAGUAACGGCGAUGGAAUUUUUGGGACAAAAUGGCUCGUACGAUGGCAUUUCCUGGAAGUCGCGUUCGUCGAUGGCAUUUCUUCGAUUAGGGUGUUUGUCAAUGGCAUUUCAUGGAUUUUCUAUUCUUCUUUUUAUAUUUUUCAUGUGAUUGACAUGUAGGGUCCAUGUAGGUCCCACAAUGACUUGUCGAGUUGACUGCAGUCAACUCAUCAUAUCAGCCAAAAUUAGACAUAAUGCUACUCUGGGAUCUCGGGUACUCCGAUAUUAUAAGUUGAGAGACAUGUUACAUCUAGUAUUGCAGUUCAAGGAUACAAUUUGAAGUCUAUAAGGAACCUAAAGUGAACUUAUUGCAGACAUGUUAUAUCUGUCACUAUGUCGUCAAGUCUGAAAUUCAUCCUAAACCGCAAUACCAGAUAUAACGCAUACCUCAACUCCCAAUCAGUGCAAAUAAGAUCCCAAGACUGUUUGGAUGACGUUUUCGACUGACGUGGCACUUAAAGUUAGAUGGGACCCACAUGUCAGUGAGUUCGGUGGGACCCACAUCAUGACCCUCUCUUUCCCUUCUUCACUCCCUUCCUUCUUUCUCUCCCUUUCAUCAUCAUGAUGGAACCCAAGGAAGGACGAGGUGCUGCAGCGGCAGGUGGUGAAGCAGAAGGCGCGCGACUGGUCGCUCAUUAGAAGUCCAUCCCGGGGAGGUCCAGCAAGUCGUGGCGCCUCUGGUGUGCAACCAGUUGUCACUGUGGGUAGAGCACCACCCCAUCAUGCCCGAGGAGGAUGAUACCAUCCUCCUCGCCCACGCUUGCUUCGGCAAACAAGUGGGCCACCAUCGUUAGGCUCCUCGUCAUCCGCACCAACAAUGCCAUCAAGAACCACCAUAACUCCACCCUCAAGUGCAAGUACCACACCUCAUCCGAUGCACUCCUCGCGCCGCUAGACAACGAUUCCGCCACUGCCGACGACUUGCUUCUGGGCCGCCCGCUCAAGCAAACAAGCAGCAACGACCACCUUUUCGUUAUCUGCCACCAAUGCCCUUGGCAGCCCCUCUGGCUCCGACCUUAGCGACUCCAGCCACCACAGCUUCCCCUCCAACAUGUCGUCCUCGCCACCACACCACCAUCUCCCUCCUCAUCAUGUCUACCACUUGAUCACAAGGGCCCGCGGGGUCGUUGUUCCUUCUCCUCCGCCACUGCAGCGCCUCCUGCUCCUCUGAUGACCUUGCUCUCCCUCUCCCUCUCCCUUCCCAGCCUAGAUUAGCCACAAACCGACUAGUCCACCCCGUUGGUGGCCGCACUAUUGUUGCAGCCGCCUCUGACUACACCAUUGUCUAAGAUGUUGCCGCUGCUGCCCCCGUCCCAACCAUCUUGUGUACAACAAGAGCCGCCUUAGAUGACGACGAUGUUGAAAGGGAAAGAGAGGAGUAAGGGAGAGAAUAAGGGGAAAGAGAGUGGGGUGAUGAUGUGAUUCACACUAUAAUUUUUUAUUUUUAACCGAAUACUCAGUAUUACGUAGGUCCCACGAUUUUCUGUGACUUUAAGUGUCAUGUCGGUAAAAAUGCUGUUCAAACCAUCUUGAUAUCUUAUUUUCACUGGUUUUAAGAGUCGAGGGACGGUCAAUAACGGUUCACAGGCGAAUUUCAGAGUCGGCGAUAAAUUGAGGGGACCUAAAGUGGACGUAUUGUUAAUACCAAACGAGUCAUGAGGAGCCCAACUCAGCCCACGUACACCGCCUCCAGCCCAAACCAAACCAUCCGCGAACCCUAGACCCACCGCCCAGGCCAUAUCAGCCGUCCAUCUACCAUCCGACGCCCCGCAACCAAACCCGCCGCUGUAUAAAUCCGCUCCCACCCGCUCCUCCCCAAAAACCUAGCCCCUCAAGCAGCCGCACCCUCACUCUCCUCUCCUGCCCCCCACGGCGGCGGCGGGAUGGCGGAUUCGACGGCGAGGACGGUGAAGGACGUGAACCCUCAUGAGUUCGUCAAGGCCUACUCCGCCCACCUCAAGCGCUCCGGCAAGGUAAGCAACCGACCAACCAAUCAUCCAGGCCCUUACCUUGCGCUUUCCACGCAGAUCCGAGUUCUUGGUAUAUCAUGGAUGGGAUGUGGUCGCCCCCGCCUCUAUGGAGAUUCGGUGUUGCUAAGCCUUGUGCGGAUGCAAUCACGGUUUCCUUUUGCUGCUGCGGCUUAGCUUAGGGACAAGCAUCCGAUCUGUUCGUUACGUUGAUGUUGGAUGCGCCGUUGCUUAGUGUAGUUGUGUCCUUCAUUUCGUUUACGUUGAUGUUGAUGCGGCGUUGCAGUAUGUUGAUUUUUCGUGAUUAGGUUAUGUGAUUGAGAUCUCGACUCUAAUUUGGACAGUUGUUUGUAGCCAGCCAGGAGCUCCUGUUGUUAGGCAACCUUCGAAUAUCUUUUUACCAGGUCGUCCUGUGUUUUACUUGUUCUUUUGUGUUGAGCUAAAUACUCUUUAUUGUCAAGAUGUGGUUUAUUGUUGGUUAAGCAUGCAUAAAAAUGUUUCACGUUAAGUCAUAAGAAAUGUAAUGUGAUGAUAUUUGACUACUGCUGCAUGAAGUCCUUGCAUACCGCUUGUUGUGGAAUAUUCACGCUGGUCACAAAUUCCGUGAUUAUCUAUUCUGUUUAGUUUCAUGUUAAAUAUAUUCUUUGUUGCACUGUGCUGUGGACUUUAGUUGGCACUCUUGAUGCUAUAAAAGAAAUAAAGCUUUGUAAUUAUAUUACCGUCAAAUUACAACUACGAUCGGAAACCAUUUACAUCAAUUGGCCUUUGUGUAUGUUCUUUGUUCUAAGUUUUGACAAUUAAAAUUCUCUUUUAGAUGGAGCUCCCUGAGUGGGUUGACAUCGUGAAGACUGCGAGGUUCAAGGAGCUCCCUCCUUAUGAUCCGGACUGGUACUACACGAGGGCUGGUGAGUAUCCUUUUCUUUUACAGCAUUCAUGUUCCUUUGUCAACAUGAAUGCCUGGCUGUCGCACUUUCUUUUAAGGAAUCACAGCGAGGGAUCUGAGCAUAACACUGUUAAUAUGAUUGUGACUUUGUUGCUUGUUUUCUGUAGCCUCGAUUGCAAGGAAGAUCUACCUGAGGCAGGGUAUUGGUGUAGGUGGCUUCCAGAAGAUCUAUGGUGGCCGCCAGAGGAACGGCUCACGCCCCCCGCACUUCUGCAAGAGCAGCGGCGCUA